AAGGAGUCUAACUGAUGUGCGAGUGUUUGGGUUCGAAAUCCCCGUGGCGAAAUGAAAGUAAAAGGGAGUUUCCGCUCGCUGCGGCAUCAAGGGACGAUGAGCAUAAAUGCUGGGACCCGAAAGAUGGUGAGCUAUGCCUGAACAGGGUGAAGCCAGGGGAAACUCUGGUGGAGGCUCGUAGAGGUUCUGACGUGCAAAUCGAUCGUCAGACGUGGGUAUAGGGGCGAAAGACUAAUCGAACCAUCUAGUAGCUGGUUCCCUC
rnacentral:misc_RNA from 1 species